rnacentral:rRNA from 1 species
AUUGAACGCUGGCGGAAUGCUUUACACAUGCAAGUCGAACGGCAGCACGGACUUCGGUCUGGUGGCGAGUGGCGAACGGGUGAGUAAUGUAUCGGAACGUGCCCAGUCGUGGGGGAUAACGUAGUGAAAAUUACGCUAAUACCGCAUACGAUCUAUGGAUGAAAGCGGGGGAUCGCAAGACCUCGCGCGAUUGAGCGGCCGAUAUCAGAUUAGGUAGUUGGUGGGGUAAAGGCCCACCAAGCCAACGAUCUGUAGCUGGUCUGAGAGGACGACCAGCCACACUGGAACUGAGACAUGGUCCAGACUCCUACGGGAGGCAGCAGUGGGGAAUUUUGGACAAUGGGCGAAAGCCUGAUCCAGCCAUUCCGCGUGCAGGAUGAAGGCCCUCGGGUUGUAAACUGCUUUUGUACAGAACGAAAAGGUUACUACUAAUACUAGGAGCUCAUGACGGUACUGUAAGAAUAAGCACCGGCUAACUACGUGCCAGCCGCCGUAACAC